rnacentral:misc_RNA from 1 species
AAGUCGUAACAAGGUCAUCGUAGGUGAACCUGCGGUGGGAUCAUCAGAAGAAACAACACAAUCAUAGUGAGGACUCUUGAAGGGAGAAGGAAUGGGAUGGGAGUGGAUGAUGAUGAUGAUUUUAUCGUCAUCCGCGUCUGUCCCUUCCAACUUGAUUUAACAACACAAAACUAAAACUGUUUUUUUUUGCUAAACACAAAAAUUUAUACACAACUAUCAAUGGUGGAUCACUUGGCUCUU